GCGGACGGCGGGCGAAAGAGCCGGCGGCGUGGGGUACUCGUAAUACUCC
rnacentral:precursor_RNA from 1 species